UGGGAGCUUGUAUACUUCCUAUUUCAUGCACAAGCACUUGGUCCCAUGAAUCACUCAGUAUUUGCGUAACCUAAAACUCCAGAUCAGGUGCAGUCGCCAACAAACAAAAAAAUGAGUGCAAACAACUGAUAAAAUUCUCAAAUCUCAGUUGAUAAAAUUCUCAAAUCUCGCACGUUAAAUCAACACUUCCAAUUCUGUGUGCUUUCUAUGGAAAGCUAUAGGGGACCCCCAGGUCAUGUUCUAUAUAUUUCAUUGUAAAUAGUUUUCAUGAAAAUGAAUAGGAACGAGAAGAGAAGUUUUAUUCUUUGCUCUCACUAACUGAAACUUAUUGACUAAAGAAAUAAAUCUUAAAUUAUGGAAGGGUGUAAAUUUCCUGUGAUGUCAUUAACAAGCGUGUCCUGUGUGUGAAGUUCAGAGCGCCGGUGGAUUCGGUAGGCUGUGUUUUCAGGCUGACGUCAGGAGAAAAAUCGUCCAUCAUUUUGUGGAGGCAGGUGACAGACGUUAAUUAGUCAUGCAGAAACUACAGGCAACAAAAAAAAAACAAUUGUAAUAUUUAAACGAUUAUUUCACGCGUUCUUACUAUUUCCCUUAUUGGCAGCGAGGAAAGAUUAACAAUUAAAGAAGUGAUAAUGUUUCUUUGCAAAGUAACAGUCGCAAUCCUUUGUCUGCACCUGACCUCAUCGACUCCGGUCAAUACGUCCACGCCGGGAAUGGUACCGAACCCAGUAGUCGAUAACUCCAAGAAGCCUUCCGCACCGGAAGUAGUACCAGAUCCGGUAGUUGAGAACUCCAAAGCCCCCGUCCUGGUCACCGAUGUGUGGUGUAGUACAAAAUUCGGAGAGUUUGUGAAAAUGUGCGAAGAUGUCCACAGCGACUGCUGUCAUCAGCUGGAGCCUUACCGAUUUGCUCCGACCGGAAGUUUAUGCCCGGGGAAGGAGGACACGGAGUGUGAAACCGGUUUGUUCACAGAGAGCUGUUGUAAAGACGGCAGAGAAAUGAAAUCCGAAUUAUUUGAGCAGAUUUAAAUUCUAGAGUAGGAGUGUGCGUUAUAAUGCAUUACGAUAUUAACUUGGCAUAUCCUAAAAGUAAUGCACGGUUAUGAAUUGUAUUUAUUUAUGUUCAGAAUGUUGUGCUAGUGGUAUAAAAAUUUAUAUGUUCA